CUGGUUAUAUGAUGAAUAAUCUAAAUCACCAUCUUUCGGCUGAUUUGUGAUGCAUAUUUUCUUAACUGACUAUACCAG
rfam:Xenopus laevis strain J chromosome 1S, whole genome shotgun sequence.